CACGGUAAACGAUGGAUGCCCGCUGUUUGCGAUAUAUUGUAAGCGGCCAAGCGAAAGCGUUAAGCAUCCCACCUGGGGAGUACGCCGGCAACGGUGAAACUCAAAGGAAUUGACGGGGGCCCGCACAAGCGGAGGAACAUGUGGUUUAAUUCGAUGAUACGCGAGGAACCUUACCCGGGCUUGAACUGCAGAGGAAGGAUCUGGAGACAGUGACGCCCUUCGGGGCCUCUGUGGAGGUGCUGCAUGGUUGUCGUCAGCUCGUGCCGUGAGGUGUCGGCUUAAGUGCCAUAACGAGCGCAACCCCUUUCGUCAGUUGCCAUCAGGUGAUGCUGGGCACUCUGGCGACACUGCCACCGUAAGGUGCGAGGAAGGUGGGGAUGACGUCAAAUCAGCACGGCCCUUACGUCCGGGGCUACACACGUGUUACAAUGGGUGGUACAGAGAGUCGGUGCAUGGCAAUGUGCAUCCAAUCAUGAAAGCCAUCCUCAGUUCGGAUUGGGGUCUGCAACCCGACC
rnacentral:rRNA from 1 species